ensembl:lncRNA
GCAGGAGGAGGCUCUGAGCAGAAAGGAAAUGGAAACUGAAACUCAUCUGGGCCACCAGCGCCCAGGUAGGGGAGCCUGUUAGUGGGGCCCCCAUUCCAGGACAGGCAGCGCCUGGGGAGUCACAGCCCUUUGGAAGCCGCAGGCGUCCACCCUCACGGAGAGCAGCAGUUUUCACUUGGAGCAAGCCCUUACUUCAAGUCCUGGUCACUGGCAGCCGAGCACCAUCUUAGCCUCGCUGUGAAUCGCGUGGACCCACACUCAGGGUGCUGUACUCACAGGCCCACAGCACCCCAGGGUGGGUCUCCGCCCUUCCUCAGCCGCUCCACUGAGGGCUUGGCCCUUCCCACUGGUUCCCACAGCUCGCUCACACCCGCUCCUGCCCGGCAGCGAGUGCUGCUUCGCUUAACCUGAGAGAAGGCAGCUGGGCUCCGUGAAGCUGCAAAGCACCUGUGCCCUUGGCCCCGGACCCAGCCCGAAGUCUGCUCCUCCUGCUUGGACGUCCUCCCCACACUCGCCUCCAGGCCCCCACGCGGCCAGCCCCGGGCCUCUUAGAUAGAUUUUCCUGCUUGCACUGAACACACCUGGCAGAAACACUGCACCCACAGGGCGAUUUUCGGAUCGGCCUCAGGCCGGGCAACCCCACUGCCCCCUUCCCAGUCCCGGAGCCUGUGGGGUCCUGGUGCCCCAGGGACCCCAGCUGCAGGGGUCUGCUCCCUCUGAGGAGGAGUCCUUAAAUCCUCAUGGAUUCUAAUUCGUGGUACCUGAAAUUGAAUCCAUGGCUUUCACAAUGACAACCGUUUUCAUUUUAACAAUUUUGAUUCUUAGGGCCUUCCUACAUCACUAAGUUAUCUGGGCUGGAACUUCCCACCUCAGCCUCCCUGAGGGCUGGAUGACAGGUGUGCACCAGCAUGCCAGGCGUGGCACCCUGCUGAAAGGCUGCCCGAGUGCCCCAGUGUGGGGACAGCACUGCCCCACGCUGCCCGGCUCGCUGUAGACGCCCUGCUUGGCUUCUGCACCCCCACCCUCUCCUUCAACCCCGCUGGGUCUGCCUCUCCUCAGUCAACUCCGGUUGGUUGGGAAGAAAGGCCGAGAGCCCGGGCCUCGCCCAGGCAGACUCGGGUCCUACGAGGUUGACAGCGGGGUGGAUGGAGUAGCUGGGCGGGCCCGGCAUCCUGACUGAGGACCGGCCCAGCGCGCAGCUCAGGAGCUGGAGUCGAAACCCCGGGCGCGCGAGGCCCGAGGGGUGUUUUCUGAACGUCCUCUCGGUCUCAAGUACUUCCUUCCUGAGCCGCCGGCUGCUGAGCAGACAAAUACCCUGGGGCACAGGUUGCAGGACCAAUCAGAAGAUGCUGUUUUCAAUCCCUCAUUUGCAUAGGGGCACAGCCAAUCGAAAGACGCUGUUGUUGAUCCUUCAUUUACAUAUGUCUACUUCUAACUGUCUGAUGCCCAGUGAUAGGGUGACUGCCCAAUGCCUCAUUUGCACGAGAAGGAGAUAACCCGGGAAUCUGGAGGAUAAAGACUUCCUCAUCCUCCGCUUGUGCCCCAAAGAGCGCAUUUCCACCUGGCUGCCUUUUCUGUGUCCUGUCCAGUUCUUUUUGUGGGACACCAACGAGGGAGAGAAACCCCGGGGACCCUACUUGGUGGCAGAAAGGUCCACGGUGCCCCUGAGUCCGCCGGCGGGGACAGCAGAUGGCCCGACUCUCCCAGGACCCGUCGACCACAGACAGAGAAUCCCACAGCAGGGUGCUCCCUGCCUCCGGAGCAGGCCUGCUUCUCUGCCUUCUCCCACCCUGGUCCCAUUUCUGUCCCCAGAGGAGGAAGGUGGUGAGUGUGGCAGAUUUUUAAACAAGUGUACACGGAUGUCCCGGGACGUCGCCUAGACACGGGGGCCACCACGGAGGGGAAGCUUGCUCCGCUGGGCCUGGGGUGGCUCCCAGCCCGGCCGCACCUGUUGGGCCCGGUUGGGGCUGGAAUACAGCCUCUCUCGUUGCUUCACCCCUCCCUGCCAGGAGAGGGCGCCGGUACGCCGGAGACCGCAGGGCGGGUACCCAGAUGAGCUGAGGCAAAGCCUGAUGCCUGGGAAACGCCACCUGUGACGCUUAGUUUUUAAAUAGGCAGAUUAAAAUCUGUGAUAUUUUUUCCAAGUUUGUCAGCUCCUUUGGCUUUUGUGUAUUGGCUGUGUGUCAGUUUUCUAUUUCUUUUUCACCUUUGAGAAACGUGUACAUGAGCACGAGUGUUAGAAUUUUGCUGGAGUUUUUAAUGGAUUUGGGUCCAGGUUUGGAGAGCUAUGGUUUCAUGUUUAAUAUCUGAAUCUUCUAUCCAUCUGCACUGACCAUCUCCUGGAGUUUUUAUAGACAGAUGAGCUAGGUAGAAAUAUUAGAGGCAGUCAGAUAGGGCUGGGUCCUCGAGAGGGCCAGGACAAAGGUGAAACACAGCACAGCUGCACAUCGGCUGAAGACCAGGCCUCGGGAUGGAGACAGGAUGACCAGACCCACACGCUUCUUCAAAGAACUGGGCCUAGGGGAGUGUAGAUGGGCAUCGACCACCCUGGGGGUGACCAGAGACCUCCGGACCCACUGUCCCCUAGGAAAAUCCUUGUUCUCUCCAUCCACCCUUGGUUCGUGACUUGCUUCCCAAUCGGAAACCGUUACCUAGGUGACUACGCUUGUGACCUUAUUGGGUGCUCAUGGCGUGGCCCAUGUGGGUUUCACCCUAUACAACUUCUCUGUAAAGUGGGGUCCUUGGCCACCCCCUCGGGACCCUUCCUGCCCCUCAGGAGCUGUCCUAUCAAUAAAUAUCUUCCUACUUUUGGGGGUUUUUUUGGAACCAGGAAUUGAACUCAGGACCGAACUUGGGACCUUCUGCUUUGGAGGCAGGUGGCGGAAGCACUGAGCUCAAUCCCCAGCCCUAUCUUCCUACUUUUAACCUCUGUCAUUCCUAGGACUCAUUCUUUGAUUUCCAGAGGACAAGAACUGGGUGUAUCAUGCAGUUAACAGGUUGGGAGAUGUCAUAGUUCCUGUUUCCCGUGACAGUGUCAGACGUGUCCCCACUGUUUCAACAACAUGUACUGGGUCCUCGCCUUCUACCUGGGGUCACACACACCAUGCAGCCUUCGUUGCUGUGGACCUUCUUCUGCUCUCAUCUCCCUUGCCCUCCCUCUUCUUUUCAUUUCUCUUUCUGGUACUGGGGGUGGAGCCCAGGACUCUUCACACGGAGCCACACUCCCAGGCUUUAAAAAUAUUUAAUUUUAAAACAAAUAGUUGAUAAUUUGAAAUAGGAACAAAAGGUCCAAAGGGGUAGGGGAAGUGGGAGGGGAAGGGGAAAGGAAAGAAGGGAAAGGAAAAAUGACGAGAAAAGAAACAAAGUCUUUG